AUGCGGUUCCUUAUCUGCGGUGGUUGGAUUGGGGUGGACAUGAGAAGGCAAUGAAGAAAAGUGCAACGGAAAUGCACGCCAUUAUUGCAGAGUGGGUUGAAGAGCAUAAGCAGAGGAGAGCAAAAGGUGAUGCAAAAGGAGAACAGGACUUCAUAGAUGCGUUGCUUUCUGUGCUUGAUGGUGCAGACCUUGGCAGUUUUGAUGCUGAUACGAUCACCAAAGCCACAAGCUUGGUACGUAUAUACAAUUCAUUAGUUUUGUAGGCAAAUAAUUAACCAUAGAAGGCUGGAGUUAGACACUAAACACAUCAAGAUUUUAUUUUUACCUUUCAAUACUUAUAAGCUAAUUGCAUGGUCUAUAAAAAGAAAAUGAAAACAUUAGGCAAGAAUUUUUUUUUUGAAAACAUAUGAUUUCCAAUUUUAUAUAUGACUCAUGCGACAUAUUUGUCUGCUCACCAAUGGAUGAUGGUAGAGAGAUUAUCUUCUUAGAUUGUAUAUGUAGACUGUAUAUGUGAUGGUUGAUGGUUAGAUUCUUUCUUUAAAUCUUUAAGAAUGAAAUUCAACUAUCAACCGUUACAUUCUUUGAUUUACAAGAUGUGAUUUAAAAAGAUAAUCUCUUUAAUAUUUUCGUCGCCUAAAGAAUGUAUAGAUGUUAAUCAAGCAAAUACUCCUUGGGCAGAAUGUUAUUGCAGGAGGUGGCGAUACCACCAUGGUGACAUUGACGUGGGCAAUAUCGUUAUUGCUGAACAACCCUCACGUUUUGAAAAAAGCUCUAAACGAACUGGACACCAAAAUAGGCAAAAAAAGAGUUGUGAGUGAGGAAGAUAUAAGCAACUUGGUCUACAUCCAAGCUAUUGUAAAGGAGACGUUACGUUUGUACCCUGUAGGACCACUAUCAGGGCCGCGUAUAUUCACUGAAGAUUGCACCAUUGCUGGCUACCACAUCCGAAAGGGCACCCGGUUGAUCCCAAACUUCUGGAAGAUCCAAACUGACCUGAAAAAUUGGCCUGAGCCAUUCGAGUUCAAGCCAGAGAGAUUUCUUACCACACACAAGGAUGUUGAUCUGAAGGGUCAACAUUUUCAGUUUAUUCCUUUUUCAAGUGGUAGAAGAUCAUGCCCUGGUUUGGCAUUUGGUCUUCAAAUGGUGCAAUUUACAUUGGCUAGUUUUCUGCAUGCAUUUGAAAUCUCAAACCCGUCGAGUGCACCAAUUGAUAUGACAGAGAGUUUUGGAAUGACUAACGUUAAGGCAGCUCCACUCAAUGUUCUCAUCAAACCUCGCUUAUCUUCUGAACUCUAUGGAUAAAAGAAGAAAAUAUAGAAUAUCAAGUGUGCGAUAUGAAUAGGAGAUUUUCGUUGUUAUUAGUUAUAUGUAAUUAUAUGUCUAUAUCUGUAAUCGUAAAAUCAAUAAAUCAACUGCCAAUGUAAGAUAAAAAACCUAGCAAUAAUGAGUGUUUGAGAAUGGGCAUAUUUAGCAAUAAAAAGUACCCCAAAAAUGCCUCUAUUUACAUUUUCAAUUGGGCUCUCUUUUGGAUCUGUUGCCUCCGGAUUUUUUGUUUUUCAAUUUGUUUGUAAAGAACCCACCCAUUCGCCAGCACAAACAGGACAAAAUAAAAUAGUCCAUUUGCGAUUAUUAUCGAAAAGUUAAUUUUGAUUAGGUUUUUCUUAUUAUUGAUUGAAAAGCUGAGAUUUUCAUUACAUUAACUUGGGUCUAAACUGUUCUGAAGUGCAAAAUUUGCAUAGCAAUGAUAUGUUUCCUGCUUAGAUCACUUUGCAUAUCAGUAAUGUGAUAUCAAGAUAUUUCUAACAUUAUUUGUAGGGCAAGAAAGAAAUCCAAAAAAACCGAAUCUGAUCCGAAAAAUUUGAGCCCAACUUGAGAAAAAUCCAACCUGAAAAUCCUGAAUUAUUCGGUAAUCGAAACCGAACAAUUUUAAAAAAUUCGGUAUAAAAAUCGGGACCAAAGCACGGUAUGUUCGAUAAUACAAAACUAAACCGAUAAUAUAUAUACAUGUAUUUGAAAUAUAUGUGGCCGUUAGAUUUGCUUGAAGUUAGAUCUCAACCGUUUAUAAAAAAAAUUAAAACUCUCUCUCAGUCUCUCUCAGAACCUCCCAAACUCUCAAUCCCUCUCCUCGACGACUCCGACCCUCUCUGUUUCUUCUCCGGUGACACCACACCGCAUAUCACACCACACCACACCACAUAGUAAUUUACACCACACUGCCACACACCUGCAAGUUCAUCUUCUCUGGCAACACUGCACCGUCAAAUUCAUCGCCCAAUCCCACCCAAUUCAUGUUUCACCUCUGCGCUUGCACAAAUCUCUCUCCCUCUCGACCCUCCACCACCCAUUCCAAUAUUAGGUAGUCGAUGACCACCUCUCUCUCUUAGUCCGCCCACAUGAUAGGAUGCUGUGUAUUGUGACACAUAAGGUUGGGAGUGCUGACUAGGACAAGAAAGAAUUAGUUGGAAUUGGUUGGCGGUUAAGGGUUGUUAGGGAGUGACUUAGGGAGGAAGCUGCUUAGUUACUAUGUAAAGGAGUAUUGUAAAAGGGAAAGUGGUUGUUGUAAAGAUUGAUAUUGUAAUGAAAUAUACUAGUUACUGUUAUACUGAGUAAGAAGCAGAGUAAGGGUUGUAUCAUUGGUAACAACUCUACGAAAACUCCUUUUCUUUCAGCCGUCGACGCAAAGCUCUGUCAAUUCUCAACCAAUUAUCUAUAUCUAUGUGCAACUCCCUUACAAAUUAUUUUUAGUGUUGUUGGUUUUCUUGGGUUUCCCCAGCCAUGUAGAAGCUCAAGAAAGAGAGUCCUAGCAGACUCAAGCCUUGCUAGCAUUUACUCCCUACAGGUCCAUAUGCUUAUGCUUUUUCCAUGUGUUCAUCCAGAUGCAUUGCUUAUUCCAAGCAGACUUAUAAAGGAAGAGGGGAUGCAAGAACCAAUGGAACAGUAAGCCAACUACUGCGGAUUGGCUCCAGAGAGGAAGUACGUAGCAGUGUAAGAGUAUAUAACUGAAUCAUUUAGAUUGUGCCAUCUGUCAUUAAUACAGUGGCUAGAUUGAAGGAUACGAUUGGGAUAUUCUAGCUAUAACAAGAUCAAGAUAGUAUAUAGCUAUGAUUCUGUAAGAAGAUUGUAAGUAGAAAAAGUAAUAAAGAAAAUAAUAUCUCUUUCUUUCUCUAAAGUCUUCUCUCCUCUCUUUUCUUCUCUCUUAAGCUUUCUUUCUUCUUGUGUUCUAUGUUAAUGGCUUCCAUUUGUUAUGGUUAACAUGGUAUCACUCGCCCCCUAAGCUUCGAUCGUAAGCUUCUUCGAUUCUGGUUUCUUAUGCUUCCGCUCCAUUCUUUUCAUCUUUGUGAAUCACUUCUCUGAUUUCUGGGUUCUAGUUCUUGCCCUUUUCGUUGAUUUUUACUCUGAAAAUCUUUGCCCACCAACUGUUUGGUUUUAUUCCUCUGAGAGAAUUAUCACUAUGGUUACUGCAACUCAACUGCAAAUCUUGCAGUCUCCAAUUACUGGGUUGAUGUCCUCUGUUUCAACUUCAGUUUCGGUUAAAUUGGACGACUCCAACUACCUUCAAUGGCAUUUCCAAAUGAAGCUGAUGCUUGAAGGCUAUGGAAUUAUGGAUUUUGUUGAUGGAACUGUAAGAGUAUGAGUAUGAGACAAACAUUUAGAGCCGGAUUGUAUAAAUCUUUGUUUGGAAAAGUCCUGUUAAUGAGCCUUUUGAUAAAUCCUAUUUGUUAUAGAAUUAUGAGAGAGUAUGGUAUACCAAUUCUAUAUGGGAUAUGACUCAGUAUCAGGAGUCUAAUUAAUUCAUAUUGUGAUAUGGUUUAGCUGUUUGAGUUCCAUAAGAAUUCUAAUAGGAGAAUACUUGGAACACUGCUAUAUAUAUGUUUAGUCACUGCUCUUACAAGUUUUUUUAACUCAUCUUGUUCCGAAUACCUAUUGUUCGGUGAGUACUUGCGUUUUGUUAAAGAGGAGAAGAUUAAACCUAUUCGAAGAGUUGCAAUGGCGUCGUCUUCAAUCUCGGGUUCUGCAGGUCAGUUGCUAUGCAAGUUUCAGUAUUUUCUCAUAAGCAUGUUUGGUCUAGAUAUAUAUCUUGUUAUUAGUUUCUGAUAAUUCAAUUGGUUAACUUGUGAUUGGUGGUAUUAGGACAUACAUAUGUUUAUAUUUGUCUUUCAUGUGGUAUCAGAGCCAAAGAAUUUCGACCAUUGAAUUAAGAAAUCUUGGCUAAAGAACAAAAGCUUAAUCUGCUCAGUUUUUGCGAACCCAUAAAUUUUUUUUUUUUGGAGAUACUUAAACGACAACGUUUGUUUAAUUAAAAAAAAUAAAAUUUUUUUUUUCCUCUUAACACCGGAGUAUUGUUUCCUGGGCUUUCGAAUUCUUCUUCUCUGGGUUAUCCGUUCUGGGUUUUUUCGGAUUUUCUUUCUUUCAGCAGAUUGCGAUGACAAAGGAGUAUUGUUACAUUUCUUUUUCAUCAUUGCCAUCUUGCUUUUGUUCAUUCGUGCAUUCAUAUAUGAAUCUUGGAAGGUAUGAAUGAUUAAUAUCCUUCUCGUCUACGUUCUUACUGAAGAAUUGAAUAUAUUUGAAUAUACAUGGUAUAAUUUCUCAUCUUGUUGUUGGUAAUUCCAUAAGUAGAUAUUGCAGUAUGCUUAAAUUGCUUCCGUUGCUAUAGAAAUUUAUAACUGCAGUUGUUUCACCAACAUUGAAAUUGCUAAAUCCAUGUGAAGAGUGAUAUUUGAAAUUCACUCUCUUGAACAUGAAUAUAUAUUGAAAUUCCCUGUGAGUUGUUUAUUCUAUAUAUGUUCUCUCAUGGGAGAUUAUGAAUAUAUAUAUAUAUAUAUAUUAUAUAUAUAUAUAUGAUUAAAUUGAUUCAUAUUUGGAUUAGGGUGAAGUGAUUGAUGGAAAUCAGGAAUCUUAUUGGAUUCAAACUGUUGAUUUCAUUGUUGUCAUUAUGCAGCUUCACUCAAAACUAUAAAUUUGGCUGCUGUGCCUAUACUCACUGGUGGAAGCAAUUAUAGGAAGUGGAGAAGAGAAAUUGAAUUGCUCCUGACACUAAAUGAGUAUGACAUAGCGCUUAACAUGCCACAACCUGCAGCUCUUAAUGAUAAGAGUACUAAAUCUGAAAAAGUGGAGUUUGAAAGAUGGACAAGAGCAAAUAAGGUUGCACUGUCCAUAUUGGAAAGUGGUAUGACAGACACUGUGCGAGGAGGCAUAAAGAAGUGUGAUCUGGCAAAAGACUAUCUCACUGCUAUUGAGAACAAAUUUAAAGAAUCUCAUAAGGCUGAAAUCGCUCAGUAUAUGACACUUCUAACAACCUACAAGUUUGAGGGAGGAUGCUCAAUUAGAGACCAUAUCAUGAAGAUGACUGAUGCAGCUGAGAAGUUGAAUUCCUUAGACAUGAAUAUAUGUGAAAAGCAACUUGUUUUCAUGAUUUUGCAAGCCUUGCCUUUGAAGUUCAGUCAACUGAAGGUUUCUUAUAACACUCAAGACAAAACCUGGACAGUGGAUGAAUUGAUUGCACAGUGCGUGCAAGAAGAAAAUAGACAGAAGCAUGACAAAGGAAAGGAAGUUGAGAUUGUCAACUUUGUACAAACAUCCAAAGGGAAGAAGGAGUUCAAUGCCAAUUCUAGGAGUGCGAAUGCUGGUAAAACUUCUAAAUUCAAUUACUCUGAUAAAUCUGUUUUAUCUGCUAAAAUAUCCAAUUCCUCUAAAUCUAACAAUUUUAAAAAGAAAGCUAAGAAUAUUGAAAAAAUCAGAUGCCAUCACUGUAAAACAAAAGGUCACUACAGAAAAGAUUGUGAAAUAUUCAAGGAAUGGCUUAGGGCAAAAGGUAGAACUGAUAUUUAUGUCUGUGAAGAGUCAAAUCUCAUUGAAAUUCCUGCAAACUCUUGGUGGUUUGAUACUGGUGCGUCUGUUCACAUAACUAACUUGUUACAAGGUUUUAAACAACAAAAACAAUCAAAUUCUUAUAAUGUCUUUGUUGGUGAAGGAACCAAAGUGUUAGUUGAAGCUGUUGGCAUUGUUCAACUCAAGUUUGAAACUGGUUUUGUGUUACAAUUAGAAAAUGUCCUCUAUGUUCCUUUAAUGAAGAGAAGCUUACUUUCUGCAUCAAAACUAGUCCAGCAAGGCAUCGUUUUCAUUGGGGAUGUAGAAUGCAUAAAAUUUUUCAAAAGAGGGUCAUUGAUUGGAAAAGCCUUUUUGCAUGACAAUUUGUGGAAAUUGCAGUGUUCAAUUGUUAAUAAUAAUCUGCAUGUUUUGAACACCACGAACAAAAGAAUGCAUAUUGACGACACUUACAUGUUAUGGCAUAAAAGGUUAGGACAUAUUUCAAAAGAAAGAGUUUUGCAGCUUUCAAAGUUAAAUCUUAUACCAGUCAUUGAUUUCAAAAAUACAUCUGAUUGUAUUGAUUGCAUGAAGGGUAAAACAACCAAUGUAAGAAAGUUAGAUGCUAAGAGGAGCCAAGCUUUACUUGAACUUAUACACACAUAUGUUUGUGGACCUUUUUCAGUUAAAACAAUUUGUGGGAAUUCAUAUUUUGUGAGCUUUAUUGAUGACUUUUCUCGACACAGUUACAUCUUCCUUAUAAAAGAAAAGUCUGCAGUCCUUGAAUGUUUCAAAAUCUUUAAAACUGAAGUGGAAAAACAGUUGAACUUAGUAAUUAAAAUUGUUAGAUCAGAUAGGGGAGGGGAAUAUUUUGGCAGGUAUACAGAAGCUGGGUAACAGAAGGGUCCUUUUGCUUACUAUCUUGAGCAACAAGGGAUUGUGGCUCAGUACACCACUCCAGGGACACCUCAGCAGAAUGGGGUUGCAGAGAGAAAAAACAGGACAUUGAUGGGCAUGGUCAGAAGUUUAAUUUCAAGAUCCAAGCUACCUGGUUUUCUCUGGGGAGAAGCUUUGAAGACUGCCAAUUACAUCUUAAAUAGGGUACCUACAAAGUCAGUAUCAAAGACACCAUUUGAGUUGUGGACUAGUAGAACACCAACCUUUAAUCACUUUCAUGUGUGGGGGUGUAAAGCAGAAGCAAGGUUCUACAACCCUCAUGAAAGAAAACUUGAUCCAAGAACUAGUUCAUGCUAUUUUAUUGGAUACCCUGAGAAAUCAAAAGGGUUUAAAUUUUUCACAUACCAGGAUAUAAGAGACUCACAAUGCAAUUUUUCUAGAAGACGAAGAUGUGUCAGAUUUGGUCCUAGACAAUUUCGAGUUUGAAGAACUGGAACAAUAGUUUGAUAGCUCAUCUUCCAUGGAUUAUAAUUAUGUCUAUGUGUUACCAAGACGUUCUACAUCAAUCACUGAUUUAGAUAAAGGAAUGCUUGGAACUGACACUGCUGAAGUUGCUACUGAAGAUCAACUUGUGGAUCAACCUAUAAAUAUUUCUCCAACAUUAGUAGACUUAUCAAAUGAUCAAAGCACAGAUCAAUUGGUUAAUCAACAGCCCUUACGGAAAUCUACUAGAUUUAAAAAACCGGCUAUUUCUGCAGAUUUUGUCUAUCUCCAAGAAUCUGAGUUUGAUAUUGGGGAUAUUGAUGAUCCUAUGACUUAUCAACAAGCCAUUCAAAGUUCUCAAGUCAUCAUAUGGCAGAAAGCUAUGGAAGAGGAGUUAGAAUCGAUGACCAAGAAUAAUGUGUGGACACUGGUGAAUUCCUCAUCCAAUAUCAAGCCUAUUGGGUGUAAAUGGGUAUACAAGACAAAACGAGAUGCUGCUGGCAGAGUUGAGAGAUAUAAGGCACGUUUAGUAGCAAAGGGGUUCAAUCAAAGGGAGGGUGUAGACUAUAAUGACACAUUCUGACCAGUUUCUUCCAAAGACUCGAUGCGGGUAAUUAUGGCCUUGACAUCACAUUUUGACCUGGAAUUACACCAGAUGGAUGUAAAAACUGCUUUCUUGAAUGGAGACUUGCAAGAAGAUAUUCACAUGAUUCAACCUCUUGGAUUUAUUGAAAGGGGGAAAGAAAAGAUGGAGUGCAAGCUUAAUAAGUCAAUCUAUGGACUUAAGUAGGCUUCAAGACAAUGGUUUCUUAAGUUUGAUCAAGUAAUCACAUCCCAUGGCUUUACUGAAAAUAAGAUGGAUGACUGCAUCUAUCUUAAGUUUAAGGGAUCGAACUUUAUCUUCCUAAUUCUAUAUGUUGAUGACAUUUUGCUUGCAAGCUCAGAUUUGCAGUUACUUGUGGAAACCAAGAAAAUUCUGAGCACCAAUUUUGAGAUGAAGGAUUUGGGAGAAGCUCAUUAUGUGCUUGGAAUUGAAAUAGUGAGGGAUAGACAGAAAAAAUUGCUUGGCUUGUCUCAGAAGGGUUACAUUGAAAGGGUCCUUAGUAGGUUUAAUAUGGAAAGCUGUAAUAAGGCAGAUGUCCCAGUAAACAAAGGUGAUAAGUUCUCUCGAGAUCAAUGUCCUAAAUCUGAGCAUGAGAUUGAAUCGAUGAAGAUGAGGCCAUAUGCUUCAUUGGUUGGAAGUCUUAUGUAUGCAAACAUAUGUACUAGGCCUGACUUGGCAUUCAUAGUUGGUUUGCUGGGCAGAUUUCAAUCAAAUCCAGGUGAAUCUCAUUGGAUAGCUGCAAAGAAAGUUUUGAGGUAUUUGCAGAGAACGAAAGAAUUCAUGCUGAUGUAUGGUAGAGAGGAUUGUCUAGAGAUCAUUGGCUAUACUGAUUUAGAUCUUGCUAGAGAUUUGGAUGAAAUGAAGUCAACUGGAGGUUAUAUUUUCAUGAUGAAAGGGGGUGCUGUUUCAUGGAAAAGUGCCAAACAGACAAUUGUGUCAACUUCUACAAUGGAAGCUGAGUUCGUAGCAUGUUUUGAGGGAAUGAAACAAGAAGUUUGGCUUAGAAAUUUUGUUGCUGAAAUGAGGAUUGUUGAUUAUGUGAAGAGGCCUUUAAGAAUGUUUUGUGACAAUUCUGCAGCAGUGUUUUUCUCAAAGAAUAACAAAAGAACGUCAGCUUCAAGAUUGAUGGAUGUGAAGUUUCUUAAAGUUAGAGAAAUGGUAAAGAAGGGGGAAAUCGAAAUUCAGUUUUUGUCAACCAACUUGAUGAUUGCAGAUCCCCUGACUAAAGCACUCCCUAAUAAUGUUUUUAAGGGACAUGUUAUUCGAAUGGGGGUGUUAGAGUCUUUUGACAAGUGGGAGUGAAUCAUAAAGGUUGCUGUUUGAUAUUUCAUUGCUCUACAUAGAUGUUGAAGUUGCGGUUCUGCAAGCUGAGUUAGUUUUAUUUUGAUUGAGUUUAAUCUCCUCAGGUAGUUUAUUGUUGGCUAUUUUCAAUAAAGGGUUUUCAGUUUUUCCAUAUGGGAUUAACUUGUACUAGAAAACAAAUUUUAUAUAUGAGAUAGUUUGGUUUGCUAGAAAAUCAUUUUGUGAUUUUGUUGAAGCAUACUUUCAGGACUAUUGAUUAUACUGUUGGUAUUGAUAAAUUUUAGUUAUCAAAUGUGAUCAUGGCUUUAUUGUGUCAAGAUUGGGUUAUAUGAGUGGGAGUAAUGUGUUUUAACAUUACUGCACAUUUUAGUUCACAUGUUUACAAAUUGCAUAUUGGGUAUGUUGUGAUUGCUGGGUUAAUUCUGUAAUGGACAGAAGAAACUCAUCAGUUCCAUGCUUUAAAAUGCUUAGGUAAGGUUGUAUGUGAUAAUGAGCUUUCGGUUAACUUGGACUUGGUGAUCACUUCCAUGAUUUAUAAGGCUGUUAGUCAUAUUUCAUACUUAAGUGGGAGAAUGUAAGAGUAUGAGUAUGAGACAAACAUUUAGAGCCGGAUUGUAUAAAUCUUUGUUUGGAAAAGUCCUGUUAAUGAGCCUUUUGAUAAAUCCUAUUUGUUAUAGAAUUAUGAGAGAGUAUGGUAUACCAAUUCUAUAUGGGAUAUGACUCAGUAUCAGGAGUCUAAUUAAUUCAUAUUGUGAUAUGGUUUAGCUGUUUGAGUUCCAUAAGAAUUCUAAUAGGAGAAUACUUGGAACACUGCUAUAUACAUGUUUAGUCACUGCUCUUACAAGUUUUUUUAACUCAUCUUGUUCCGAAUACCUAUUGUUCGGUGAGUACUUGCGUUUUGUUAAAGAGGAGAAGAUUAAACCUAUUCGAAGAGUUGCAAUGGCGUCGUCUUCAAUCUCGGGUUCUGCAGGUCAGUUGCUAUGCAAGUUUCAAUAUUUUCUCAUAAGCAUGUUUGGUCUAGAUAUAUAUCUUAUUAUUAGUUUCUGAUAAUUCAAUUGGUUAACUUGUGAUUGGUGGUAUUAGGACAUACAUAUGUUUAUAUUUGUCUUUCAGGAACAAAUCUGUGUCCAUCUCAAUUUUCUAUUGAUUCAGAAGUUACUGCUUUUGGGUCUGGUGCAAGAAUUGAAUCAGAUUUGUAUAAGGUUUGGAAGAUGCAUGAUAGGGCUCUCAUACAACUUAUCACUGCUACCUUGUCUCCUAUGGCCAUUACUUGUGCAAUUGGGAGUAGUAGUGCUAGAGAUCUAUGGGUUCGUCUUCAAGAACAGUUUUCUACAGUAAGCAAGACCUCUAUUUUCCAGUUAAAGUCUGAUAUUCAAACAAUCAAGAAAGGGGCUGAUUCUGUCUCCCAAUAUCUUCAACGCAUCAAAGAAACAAGAGACUACCUUGCUGCUGCUGGUGUUACAUUUGUCGGUGAAGAUAUUGUCAUAUUGGCAUUAAAUGGUCUACCUGUAGAAUACAAUACUUUCAGAUGUGUUAUUCGUGGCCGAGAAAAUGUGAUUUCGUUGAAGGAAUUUCGUGCCCAGUUACUUGCGGAAGAAGCUACUAUUGAAAACAAUUCAUGUGUUUCCUUUCCUACUGCAAUGAUGGUAAAGAAUCAAGCUUCUCAUUCUGGUGCUUCAUCAUCUUCAUAUCAAGGAUCUUUCUCCAAUGGGUUUCACAAUUCUAAUGGUUUUCAUGGGAACUCUGGCCAAUCUUCGUUUUAUAAUGGUGGCAACAAGUCAAAAUUUAACGGUAAAGGCAAGGCUACAUAAUCAAGGCCAUAAAUUUGGUUCGAAUCAGGGACAAAAGUUCUAUCAUUCUAAACCUAUAGUUCAUGAUUUUGCUCCUGGUAUACUUGGUAGUCAUUCUCAUGUUAACAAUGGUACUUCCUCUUCAAAUGUCAUAUGUCAAAUAUGUUAUCUACACGACCAUUCUGCUGCUACGUGUGUGUAUAGAAGUGAUGAUUCUUCGGAGAAUUGUCAAAUUUGUGACAGAAGUAAUCACACGGCCAAGACAUGUUUUACAGAAACAAAGAAAGGAAUUCUCCAUCACAAAUGACUGCUAUGAAUACUGUUUUUCCUGGUUCAAUGCAACCUCAGUAUAUGAGUGCUAUGCCUCCCAUGUUGAAUAUGGGUUCUUCUCACAUGCCUCCCAUGUCCACUAUGAACUCAGUGAACAUGGUUCCUUCCAUGAAUGCAUCUUCUUCCUAUGUUAUGCCCACUAUGUCUACUGCAAUGCCUAAUCAAGUCCAUUAUCAAGUCUGGCUAACUGAUUCUGGUACAACCAAUCACAUGACGAAUGAAUUGAGUAAUUUGUCCAUUGCUUCACCAUAUUCUCAAAAUGAUACAGUUCAAACAGCAGCUGGUGAAGGUUUGCAAGUUUCUCAUAUUGGAGAUUCUCUUUUAAGGACUUCUCUACAGCCUAUAAAACUGAAUUCAGUUCUUUAUGUUCCAAAGCUAUCUCAUAAUUUGUUGUCUGUUCAUCGCAUUUGUCUUGACAACAACUGUUGGCUAAUUUUUUAUGCUUACUGUUUUUGGAUUCAGGACAAAGUCACAGGGAGAAUCUUGUUUAAGGGACUCUGUAACAAUGGAUUGUAUCCCAUUCCUUCCUUUACUACCAUACCUCAUAUACCUCAAAAACAAGCAAAUCAAGCUGUUGCCUGUCUUGGACAUACUGUCACCUCAAACUUGUGGCAUUGCAGACUAGGUCAUCCUUCAAAUCCUAUUGUUUCUCUUACACUUAGGAAAUCUAAUGUUGCUGUUAAUAAGGAUGUGUCUUCUAUAGUUUGUCAAAGUUGUCUAGAAGGCAAAUUUAGUAAACUUCCUUUCUAUCCAGCUACUUCCAAAUAUGUAAUACCUUUUGAAGUUGUACAUAGUGACCUAUGGGGGCCUGCACCUUGUGUCUCUGUGGAUGGAUUCAAGUACUAUGUCAUAUUUGUUGACGAAUGUACUAGAUUUUGUUGGAUGUUUACUUUGAUAAAUAAAUCAGAUUUUGUCUCCAUUUUCAUUUCCUUCUAUCAGUAUGUUUUUACUCAAUUUUCAGCCAAAAUUAAGAUCUUGCAAAGUGAUGGGGGGGAGAAUAUAUUAGUAAAUCUAUUCAAUCAUUUCUUGCUCAACACGGCAUUCUUCAUCAUAAAUCUUGUCCUUAUACCCCUGAACAAAACGGGUUGGCUGAGAGAAAGCAUAAACAUAUUGUUCAAACCGCUUUCACUAUGUUACAAAAUGCAAAUUUGCCUUCUACAUUCUGGACUUUUGCUUGUCAAACAGCAGUUUACUUAAUUAACAGAAUGCCAUCUUCCGUUAUUCAUAAUAACUCUCCAUUUGAACAAUUAUAUUCUGUAAUCCCAGAUAUUCAUCAUCUUCGAGUCUUUGGUUGUUCUUGUUUCCCAUUGUUAAAACCUUAUAAUAGCAACAAGUUCCAACCUAAGUCUACUAAGUGUAUAUUUUUGGGAUAUGCCUUGACCUAUAAGGGGUACAUAUGUUAUGAUCCUAGUCAUGCGAAAAUCUAUAUAUCCAGGCAUGUUAUUUUUAACGAAAUAGAUUUUCCAUAUGCCACAAUGGUUUUCAAACCUAAGAUUUCUGUGCCACAACCAUCUCAAACUACUGUUAGCUAUUCUUCUGUGCUUCCUAAUCUUGAAAAUAUCCUGGUUACCCCUUCAACAACCUGUCCAUCAACCCAAUCAUCUAAUACUCACCCUUCUCAGCCUACUAUACAAUCUUCACCUCAACCAAUACCACAAUCCAUAAACCCACCUGCUUCUCAAUCCAUUGUUGCUCAAGAUUCUUCUGUGGUACCUGAAUAUAGCUCAGAGACCUUGCAAGUGGUUCAUGAUAUUCCCCCAAUGAAUCUACACCCUAUGCAAACACGAUCUAAAAGUGGGAUCAUAAAGAAGAAAGUUUUCUUAGCAUCUGUUCACAGUGCAGUUGAGGUUGAUUUAACAACAAUUGAACCAGCCACUUACAAGUCAGCUUUAAAAGUUCCAGUUUGGUAUAGUGCAAUGCAAGAGGAGAUUGAAGCUUUGUAUUCACAGAAUACAUGGAGUUUGGUUGAUCUGCCACCUAAUAAGAAUUUAGUUGGGUGUAAAUGGGUGUUUAAAAUAAAAAGGAAUGCUGAUGGGAGUAUUGCCAGACAUAAGGCUCGAUUGGUAGCAAAGGGGUUUAGCCAGGAACAAGGAUUGGAUUAUGGGGAAACUUUUAGUCAUGUGGUAAAGCCUACUACUGUACGAUUGGUUCUUACUCUUGCUGCACAAUUUAAUUGGCCAUUAAGACAACUUGAUGUUAAAAAUGCAUUUCUUCAUGGCAUUUUAAAUGAAGAGGUGUACAUGUCACAACCUCCCGGGUUUGAAGAUUCCAGAUAUCCUUACUUAGUGUGCAAAUUACACAAGUCUCUUUAUGGUUUAAAACAGGCUCCACGGGCUUGGAAUGAUAGAUUUACUCAGUUUUUACCUCAAUUGGGUUUCAGCAAUACUUAUUCUGACUCUUCACUGUUUGUCAAGUGUGUUGGUGCUGAAAUUGUGAUACUUUUGUUGUAUGUUGAUGAUAUAAUCAUCACUGGAAGUGCAGCUGCAACAAUUCAACAAGUUAUUGCCCAGUUAACUACAAAAUUUGAGCUUAAGGAUCUUGGUCCUUUACACUUUUUCUUGGGUAUUCAGAUCACUAGAACUGCCUCUGGUUUAUUUUUAUCUCAAGAGAAGUACAUUCAGGACUUGUUGAAGAAAACAGAAAUGUUGGAUUCCAAACCUGCAGCCACUCCUUGUUUGCCUUACAAUAGGCUUCUUAAGGAUGAUGGACAACCUUUUAACAAUCCAGCACUAUACAGAAGUAUCGUUGGGGCCUUGCAGUAUCUUGUAUUUACCAGGCCUGACAUUGCCUUUUCGGUUCAUCAAGUUAGUCAGUUUAUGCAGGUUCCAAUGAUCUCUCACUUCACUGUAGUUAAAAGAAUAUUACGAUAUCUUAAAGGUUCUCUAAAUCAUGGCAUUAGUUACAGUAGUGGAGAGUUGAUCCUAAAGGCUUUUAGUGAUGCUGACUGGGCAGGAGACCCUAAUGAUCGAAGGUCAACUACUGGCUUAGUGGUAUUUCUUGGAAAUAAUCCUAUUUCUUGGUCUUCUAAGAAGCAACAGACUGUGUCUAGGUGAUGUGAAAAAUAAGUUAACACACAAAUUAAACCCUCUUUUUGACAAUUGUAGUAUAGAUGUAAGUAGGGUAUCGUUCUAGGCCGGGGAUUAGGAGGGAUUGCUAAUCUAUUCUAAAUUAAUUUAAAAAUAUUAAAUAAGACUCAAGGACACAAAACUAGGCUAAAAACUCUAAUAACUCGAAACACACUUAAAAUGACUCAAAAUAAUGAAAACAAUCAAAUUAAACACUAGGAACUGAAAUGGACGGAAAUUAAAUUAAAAGACUAACAAUAAAGAAAACUAACUAAAUAAUAUAAUUUAAUAAUGGAUGGGUGUUUGGUUUUGAUGAAAAGUAAAUUAAACUUAAUUAAAUUACAGAAUUGACAAAAACAUAAAAUUAAGGUAAAAUGAUAAAUGACGGACUAGCUAGAGGGUUCUUCUCCACACAUGACACAUAAGCAACCUAAAUUGAUUUUCAGUUGUUCUUUCAAUAAAUUGUGAAUUUCAAUACUCCAGAUUAACCGUGAACAGCACUAAUUAACCCUCAGUUUUUCCACAAGUUAUUGGGUUGGAUGAUUGCAUACGACAACCUAAAACAUUCCCUACAAGUUCCCUACAUGAAUUGCAUAAUAGAGAUACAAGCAAGAAUCAUUAAGUUCUAUGAAAAACAUAAGCAUUGACGAGCCACUCGUUACUAUGAUUUGCAUGAAACUUAUGCCAAGAAUUUACUUAACGUGAUUGUGACUAGCAACCUUCACUACUUGUGAAUAUAAGUUCAUAACGAUUAGGUGAAAUUCACUUAUAUUCUAGCAUCAAAUUCAUGCAUGUAAAUUAAGUAUGCAUCCUUAAUCGAAAUACAAAAAUAAGUUAUCUAUCAAGCAGUUAAGCAAAUUAAAUCACAACUCAGAAAUCACAACUGAAGGUAAUCAAUUUAUAUUACAAAUAUAUUCAUGGCUUUGAAUUAACCUCUAGCCAAAAUAAAUUUAAUUACACAUUAUUAAAACAGAAAUAAAAUAAAAGUUUGGAAAGAUUAAACCGAAAGAGGAGAGUGCUUGCUGCUUCUGUCUAUCUUCCUCCCCGUUCCGCGUCUUCUCGCCCCCCAUGCUCAAGCUGCCAAGUGGCAGCUUUCCUCUUCUGUCCGUGUGGCUGUCUGUGUGGACUCCCUCGGUUUCUCUCUCCACGCAGCUCAGCUGCUUCUGUUCCUGUCCUUCUCACGCUGCCCAAAGGCAGCCUUCUCCUUUCACUCACGCUGCCAAGGGCAGCUCUCUCCCGUGCCCCCUGCUGCACGCUGCCAAAGGCAGCUCUCUGCCUUCCACCAAUAUCCCCUUACUACUAGUCACGCCCUCCUUCUUUUAUAUCUUCUCUGCGCUAUCCCUCUCUGUCCCUUUAUUACUUUUUUUUUAAUUUUAUUUUCUUUUCAAGCUGUCAGUCUCUCCACUCCACCUUAUUCUUCUAUUUUUCUUUGCUUUUAUUAUCUGCCAUGCCUCUUUGUACCACUGACUGCAUCAUGAUGUUGAGCAAUUGCUAAAGCAUCUGCCAACGAGUCCCUGUUCUGCCUUCUUGUUUCUGUCGGUCUCCCCUUAUAUUUUUCUUCUUUCCGUCUGUCAGUCCAUGUGCCUUCUUUUCAAGGUAUAAGCUGGAAAGUAUUUUUGGCAACAAGAUUCUUUUGUGCUAUUUUUAUUUUCUUUGCAUAACAAAUCCUAGAAACACAAAAAUAACGUAAAUAUCUCAAAAAUAUAAGGAACUAACUAAGAAAAGACGAGUGAAUUCGAAGUAAAAAUAUAUAUAAAUAUGAUCCGAUCACUAGGUCGUCAACUGAGGCAGAGUACAGGGCGUUGUCAUCCACUGCUGCCGAGUUAGAUUGGGUGCAGCAACUUCUUACUUUUUUGAAAAUCAAACUCGAGUAUACUCCUGUUUUGUUUUGUGAUAAUAUGUCUGCCAUUGCACUAUCCUUUAAUCCUGUGCAACAUCAACGGACAAAACACAUUGAAGUGGAUGUUCAUUUUGUCCGCGAAAGAGUGGCCAACAAGAAACUCCUUGUGCAGUUUGUUUCCUCCUCAGAACAGUUUGCUGAUAUACUCACUAAAGGUCUUAGUUCACCAUUGUUUACUACUCAUUGCUCCAACCUCAUGCUUGGGUCAUCCCAACCUGAGCUUGAGGGGGGAUGUAAGAGUAUAUAACUGAAUCAUUUAGAUUGUGCCAUCUGUCAUUAAUACAGUGGCUAGAUUGAAGGAUACGAUUGGGAUAUUCUAGCUAUAACAAGAUCAAGAUAGUAUAUAGCUAUGAUUCUGUAAGAAGAUUGUAAGUAGAAAAAGUAAUAAAGAAAAUAAUAUCUCUUUCUUUCUCUAAAGUCUUCUCUCGUCUCUUUUCUUCUCUCUUAAGCUUUCUUUCUUCUUGUGUUCUAUGUUAAUGGCUUCCAUCUGAUAUGGUUAACAAGCAGAACACAGAUUAUCCAAGAGGGUUCGAGUCAGAUUGUUGCUUACGGGAGAGGAGGUAAGAGCUCAUAACUAAUGGGAGAUUUCUCCAUGGCAUUGGCUUUUGCACUCGAAAAUGAAGGAAAGCUCGGGAGGACGGAUGCCUAGCACAAGUUCAAUGCUUUAAAUGAAGUUUAUAAAAUUAAUGAUUUAAGUUUUUAUGAUGAAAAUACAUUAUUCAAAAAAGGUGAAAUAUGUUCAUUACCCUGAGUGAAGAAUGCAUGUAUGGAAGGAUUCUACUAUAAAAAUAGGCGUGGGCAUAGAAACCAUAGAACCGUGAAACCGAAUCGAACCACGCCAAAAUGGACCGUAAAAUACCGUGUUAAUAAAAAAAAGUCAACUUAGGUUCAAGAACCGGACCAAACCGUUCAUACUAGUUUCGGUUUUGGUUUUCAUCUUGAAAGAAUCGGGCAAACUGAAUAUCAUCUCCUUUGGAUCCCAAUUUUAAUAUCAUCUCCAUGCUUCAUUAGCCCAUACUGCUCCCAAAAGAAUAUUCGUCGUUAAAAGGAUAAACUCUAGACUAAUAAUACAAUAACUGUAACGAUUCAAUUAUUGAAUCAAUUGAUAUCCUUAAUGAUUUUUAGGCGAAAUUAAAAUCGUGUUUCAAAGUUUUGACCUUGAGUAAGGACAUAUUGGUCACUACAUUUUGGAAAAGGAUUCUCGUCGGAUCCUUUUUUUGGGGAUCUGAGGGAUCCCGUGAUCAUGAUUGUUCAUCGUACAUCGUGUGGUUAUAAAUCAUUUUAGAUUUUAAAUUUUAAAUUAAAUAUAAAUAGUACCUACCGAAAAAUGACCACACGAUAUGAACAAUCAUGAUCACAUAAUUCUCCAACUCUCCAAAAAAAGAAUCCAACGAGGAUCAUUUUCCCUAGUGUUUUCGUUAUUGAUAUGCAUUAAAGAUAACUCGUCCUCCUUCAUAGUAAUGUGGUACGAAACGGUCGACGAGCGGGCGAGGGGUGGCUGUCGAGAUGAUGGGAUGAUUGAUUUUUUGUGAGUUUAUUUGUAUUUCUUUAAUUUUUAUUAUUAUAUAAAGAAAAAGGUAAAUUACAUUUUACAUCCUUAAGUUUAGUGGGAUUACAACCUCGUACAACAUCUUUAAAACAUUUCAAUCUCAUACAUCUACUUAUCAUUUCUUUCAAUUUCAUACGUUCGUUAAAAAAUCUAUUAAGUUAACCAUUAAGUGAUGACGUGAUAAACAUAAAGUCCUUGAAAAGAAGACAAAAGGAAAAGAAAAAAAAAAGAAUAAAGCUUUAGUUAACUAAUAGCCACAUGAUCCCAUUAAAAGAUAGGCUUUUUAGUCAAAAUAGUUUUUGAGAUUUGCAUAACACAUCACUUUGGUCCUUAAGAUUUGAAAUCAAUAGAAGUGAUCUUUGAGACUGUCCACUAUCAAUCAUUUUGGUCAUUCCCUGCAAAAUUAUGCUAAAUAAGGAUCAAAACGACAAAUAUACUUUCAAUUUAAUAAACAAAGGGCAAACAUGAUUUGACAAAAUUAAGGGUAUUUUGGUCAUUCUAUUCUUAUUUAAUGGACAUUUUUCAAGGAAUGACCAAAAUGAUUGAUGAUGGACAAACCAAUUCAAUUGAUAUCAAAUAUCAUGAACCAAGGUGAGGAGUUAUUAAAUCUCAAGAACUAUUUUGGAUAAAAAGCCUAAAAGAUAUCUAUUGGCUGAGCAUGUGAUCCCUAUUUUUUACCUUCACCCGAAGAACCUAAAUAUUAUAGGAUUUAAUUUAAGUUAAGUCCAAUUUUGCAAGUCAAUAUUAAGAAUAGUCCAUUUUUCGUGAUCUUUGACAUAAGUUCAUCCCACGUCAUUUUUAUUAUCUUUUAAAUUAUUAAUCUUUAUUUCAAUUUUGCCCUCAUAUUUUAAAAGGAAAACUAAUGAAAAAGGUUUGAGAACUUUGUGUUUUAACGAUAAAGACAAAAUUCCCUAUUUUAAAUUAUCUCUAUUCCUUUUUUCAAGGAUUUUUAUUUCUCCUUUUAAAUAUCCAUUGCUAGUUUGAAUUUCUUCUUUUUGAAUUCAAAAAAGAUGGGGCAUCCCUCCAUUUGUAACCAGAGUAAGAUUCUCUCUCAUCCUAAUCUCUAUCUACUUCCAUCCCUUUCUAUUUAAACGGUUGCGAUUACGCUACGUCUAUAUCUUGUUUUGAAUUUUUCUUGGCAACUAAAAGUUCGAUCACAUCACAACUCACCUCAUGAGAGACUAUGUGUACAAAAUUGCCAGCAAAACUAGUAAAGGAACACUAUUUACAUACAAGCAACAACAACUUAAAAAAGGAACUGCAAAAGAAACAACUAGUGACGAUUACAAGAAAGACUCUGCAUUCAAAGCUACCAACAAAGUCAUCAAUUGCAUUACGAUAAAUCGUACCAACACCAUCAUGAGACAUGAAAUAAAGACUCAAGCUCAAAAAGACAAAUCUAACAUGGACAAAGCCGCCCUAUAAUCUAGAAAACCCACAUCAUAAAAAUUCAACUUCAUCUCUUGCCAAACCCACAUGGAAAGGCAUCCUCUCUGGAUCCAUUCCACCAAAUCAAUUAAUCAGAGCCCUUGAAAUUUGAUCAAAUAGCUACAAAUAUGGGCCCCUUUAAAAGUUAUAAUAACUUUAGCUGUUGGAUCAAAUUUCAAGGGUCCGAAUUAGGUGAUUGGAUGAAUUUGGUGGAAGGGAUCCGGAGAGGAUCCCUUUUCAACCCACACUACCUAAAACAACCAUAGAUGGGAGAUUUUGAGAGAACGAUUUGAUUGAAAAAGGACAAAAAAAUAAUUGAUUGAGAACUCAAAUAUAAGCAAGCUUAGGCACAGACUUAAUCACCCCAAAAGGGACUAAAAGAAUUAGUAUGUCAUUAAUGUGUGAUAAAAAAAAAUCACUUGGCGGCUUAGGCACAACAAUUUACUUUUUUAAGGACAAAAAAGACUUACAGAGGCACUUCAGCCUCCCCUUAACCAGUAUUGUGUAAAUUACACGCGUCACUAAUCUAAUCCAAAAUGUACGCGAAUAAAAUAUGAGUUUAAAAUUUAUUUUCAAUCAGUGAGUCAUCCCGUAGCGGUUAUAAAAUGACCGUUAUUCAAUGUAUAAAAAUCAUAAGUGCUAGACCAAUUCUAGUGUAGAGGUUUUUUUGUAAGAUUAUUUUCGUGGGGGCAAUGAUAUUAAAAUUAUGCACAGAUCACACAGAAGACAAUCCUAUCUUUACGUACAAGUUACAUCGAACGGAUAAGUAACGGGUCCAAACCAUCGUUGAGAAAAAAUGUGGGACUGCGCGAUUUAACUAUUUGAUCGUUCUUUAGUAAAUUGUGUAUAGACAAGAAAAUAUUAUGGGAUCAGUUUAAAUAACAAGUCUAAAGCCAUGUAGAAAGUUGUCGAAGAAAUAUCACACUUUUCACGAAUCAGCUUGAUGCUCCUUAAUUGAACAUUUGACUAAUGAGUUUAUAAUAUUAAAAAUAGCAAAUUAUAAUAUCAGACAACGUGGCAUAUGCGGGUUCAUAUGUUAUUUAUUUGGAGUAAAGAUUCUUUUUGGAUAUAAAAAAACUAAAUAUUAAAAAUAUUAUGGGAUCAGUUUAAAUAAUAAGUCUAAAGCCAUGUAGAAAGUUGUCGAAGAAAUAUCACACUUUUCACGAAUCAGCUUGAUGCUCCUUAAUUGAACAUUUGAAUAAUGAGUUUAUAAUAUUAAAAAUAGCAAAUUAUAAUAUCAGACAACGUGGCAUAUACGGGUUCAUAUGUUAAUUAUUUGGAGUAAAGAUUCUUUUCGGAUCUAAAAACACUAAAUAUUAAAAAUAGCAAAUUAUAAUAUCAGACAACGUGGCAUAUGCAGGUUCAUAUGUUAAUUAUUUGGAGUACAGAUUCUUUUCGGAUCUAAAAAAACUAAGCCUAAGGAUCAAAUGAUCUUGAUCGUUGAAAUUUGAUAUAACGGCUAUAAUUAUUAUAACUUUUAGAAGGAUCCCUUAUUUGUAGCAGUUGAAUCAAAUUUCAACGGUUUGAAUUAUUUAAUACCUAGACUCAAUUUUUUUAAAGGAAAACUAAUGAAAAGUGCUUGAAAACUUUGAGUUUUAUAGAUAUGGAUAAAAUAAAGGGCAAAGUCAAUAGUAGCAGGUUUGACUUCUAAGUGUAAAAAUGUGAUUUUUCGUUAAAGUGAACAAUACCAUAGGCUUUUCGUUAAAAUUUUUUUUUUUUUUAAAUCUAGAGAGAAUUUGUACUCAAUUAUUUGAGGGUUCUUUCAGGGUUAUCCAACAAACGUGAAAAUUGAAACAAAAGUGUUAUAUUAAGUUGCAGUGUAUCAAGCUAAUGACGGUGUGUGUGAGUGUGACCCACAAGACUCGUGUGGCACCAAGACUAUGGAGAAAAGGAAUGUUUUUGGGGCAAAACGAUAAUGGUUUGAUUAGCUUUUUUUUUUUAAAAAUUACAAACUUCAAAUAGAGUAUCCUAGAUCAAAUUCGAGUGAUCCUUAAGCAAACAGUUCCAAAACAAAAAAUAAGGCCAACUUUACCAAUCUAAUAACUAUCAUAUUGGUGGAUCUUCGAAUGUAACUAGCAUGAUAACACAUUUAGCACUCCAAAGCCAAAAGUACUUUAAUCUCGGCAACUAAAAAUUCAAUCACUUUAAAUCCGCCUCAUGAGAAACUCUACACACAAAAUUGCCAGCAAAACCAGUAAAGAGCACUGUUUACAUAUACAGGCAACGCCAACUUCAAAGAGGAACUACAAAAGAAACAAAUAGUGACUGUUACAAUAAGAACUCUGUACACAAAACUACCAACGAAGCUAUCAGUUGCAUCACGGUAAACCCUAUCAAUGCCACCAUGAGACACAAAAAGACACAAGCUCAAAAAGGCAAAUUUAACAUGGACGAAAGCCGCACUAUACCUAGACAACCCACACCAUAAAAUUUCAGCUCCAUCUCUUGCCACACCCCCACACUAUCCAAACAACUAGAGAGGGAAGAUUUUGGGAGAAAAAAUGGAUUGAAAAAGGACAAAAAAAAUAAGUGACAGAGAACUCAAAUCUAAGCAAGUUUAGACACAAACUCUGAAAUCCCGUUUCCGAAAUUUCAAUAUUUUGUACGUAUCUUGUAGUUUAAAUUUGUAUUUCGUGAUUACGAUAUCUUUAUUAGUAAAUUUUAGGAAUAUUAAUUGAUUGGUUAUCGAGUAUGAAGUUUUAUAAUCAAUCUUUAGCAUUCGUCGACCUUUUGAAGUUACAACUAGUGUUUUCAAAUAGAUCUCGAAAUCACGAACACAUAGGUGAAAACCAUUUGCGAGUCCGAAUUAUAACGGUAUGGUUAGGAACGUUCGAAGUUGUGAUACUAUAGAUUUUAGGAAUUAUUUGUAUCCCACUUUGUGGGUAAGAGGCCCAGACCGAUAUUUGGGUUAAAGGACCAAUUAGUUAGAAGAGGGAAGAGACCAAUCAGAUUUUAGAAAAGGUAGGCAGCAGCCAAUCAACAAGGGAAGAAAAGAAAAUAGGGAUUUUUCCCCUUCCAUUUCUGUUGACCGUACACCCACGACAACACCUUCGACCUGGUUCUAAUUCUGGCCAUUUCCACCAUAUUUUCAGGUGAUCUUCAACCAUCCCACACCUGCCACCUCUUCCAUUACCUCCCAUCUACCAUCUCCACCCAAUUUCGAAGGAAUUUUAAGCCCAAAAACCAUAUAAACCGUGCGGGUGCCGGGAGGUUUUUCACUGCGAUUCCGCUGUUCCAGCGAGUUUCACCACUCACCACCACCCUUAAUCAACUUCCCUUGGACCUAGGAACAAGACCCAAUCAAUUGUAGGGGCAUUGGAACACCGAGGAAGUCGCAUCGAAGAACACCCACCUUAGGGUUUUCGAGGGGUGCGAGCCAAUUUGGAGCCUUCCCGGCCAAAUUGGACUUAGCCACAGGCAGUGAUAGAGUGUGACACCUUGACUCUCAUGUUAGGGUGUAUUAACACGGACUCCAGGUGAGUGACUUUAAUAUAUGUGAUAUUGUUAUUACCCUGAAAACUCCCAUGCUAGUAUACUUUGUGUAUACAACAUGAAUUUCUAAAGUAUGUUUUAUGCUAAAUAAUUGUUUUUAUAAAGUUUACCAUCGAUCAAUUUUAUGAAUUGUUAUGUGACUUGCUUAUUGAAAUGUUUGUUAAAUUGAGGGCUAGUAGGAGACCAUGACCCUACUUGGUUAAUCCGCGAUAGGGGGUUACUAAUGGUCCCGCUUGGUUAAUCCGCGAUAGGGGACCAUAUUUUCUAAGGAUCGUGCUUGGUUAAUUCGCGAUAGGCGAUCCUUGUAUCUUUAGUAUGGCCAUACACACACUUAGGGAUGAUCAUGCUUGGUUAAUUUGAGAUAGGUGAUUAUUGACUAACAAAUGCGUUUGAGUGACUCUGCUUGGUUAAUCCGCGAUAGAAGGUCACUGCCUACUUGGUUACUACAUGGGUGGUUCUGCUUGGUUAAUCCACAAUAGGGGGCCACUUCUUGUUUGUUUACUUAUGUAGGCUUCGGCCGAACUGUGUCACUCUAACUCUAGUUUUUAGUGUUUUCAUAAACUAUAGUUUCGAGAACCUUGAGUUUUGACUUAGAAAAGCCGUUGGAUGUCUGGGUGACUCCUUCAAAGAUAUCAAAGGUUUGGUACUGAUUUCUUAUGAAUGUUUUAUAUUCGAGGUUUAUAAACUGUGAUUGAUGGUUGGUUUUAUUAUUAUUAUCACAUGCAUUGUAUUAUUGUCACUCACACGAGUUUCGCAGCUUAUCCGGGUUGUUGUUUGCUCGGUGCACGAUUCCAAUGGUGUAGGCAUUGAUCUUACAGGUGACAGGUCUGAGUAGCUUCUGAGAUGUAUGUGGAUGGGGUAGUAGUGCAGUUAUCAGAGACUUGGAGUGUUAGGUUACCUCUAUAUCCUCUCUUGUACUUUAUCUUUUGGGACUUUCUUUUGAGCACCUCGAACUUGUUCUUAGUCUAGCGAGGGUUGUACUUCUUUUUGGGAUGUACAUAUUUGUAAAUAUCUUGUGGAGAACUUAGUCACCUCCAUAUUAUUUUGGUUUAUUAGUUAAAGUAUUUCCUUCCGUAAUUUAUGCCGUAUUUGACGAACGUUAUUUCCCUUUGUCACGUGUCGACUCUCGAUGUAUGUUGGGAUCCGGGCGUCACACAAACUUAAUCACCACAAAAGGGACUAAAAUGAUUAGUAUGUCAUCAAUGUGUGAUAAAAAAUUACUUGGUAGCUUCGCCACAACAGUCUACCUUUUGAGGAUCGAUAAGACUCAUAGAGGCAUUUCAACCUCUCAUUGACCAUUAUCGUGUGAUACACAUGCGUUAAGAAUCUAACCCAAAACCAACUGUGUAUGAUAUAUGAGUAUGAAAUUCGUUUUCAAUCAGUAGGUCAUCCCUUAGCGUGGGGGCAAUGAUAUUUUUUUCAGUAGGUCAUCCCAUACUGAAAUUGUCCCCAAUGUGUAAAUAUCACGAGCGCUAGACCAAUUCCAGCGUAUAGUUGUUUAUUUGUAAGGUUAUUUUCGUGGGGGCAAUGAUAUUAAAAUUAUGCACGCAUCACACAGAAGACAAUCCCAUCUUACUUGCAUGUUGCAACGAACAGAUAAGUAAAGGGUCCAAACCGGCAUGUCAUAAAAUAAUAAAUCUUCAAAAUAAUCAAAAUUCGUUAAACGUCUAACAAAACGGGGGAUUGAGGAGUUUUAAUAUUUUGUCUUUUUUAAGAGAUAUGAAAAGGAAAGGGUAUUUUUAAGGGAAGAGGAUCCUCUCCUGAGUUCAGGAUGGAAAUCCUCCUGAUCUGAUAAGAUCAUCUGGACCGUUCAAAUUUAAUCAAACGUUUGUAAUUAUUAUAACUUUUAGAGAACCCUCCUAUUUAGAACCAUUGAAUUAAAUUUGAAUGGUCUGGAUGACCUGAUCAAGAGGAUCCCCAUCCUGAGCUCAGGAGGAUCCUCUUCCAUUUUUAAAUUUACACGUAUUAAUUAUGAUUCAAAAAUAAAAUUAAAUAUAUGAGGGUCGGUUUGGUUAACCGCACCCUAAAAAUUUUGAGAAUCAAUUGCCAAACCGAUUAAGAUCGGUACGGUUUGGUUUAGCCAUCGAAAAUAAAAAAUAAAAAAAAACCAAACCAAGCUUCAGGUGGGAUUCAAGCAGUUUAGUCGGUUUUUUUUUUAAAUGCCCAGCCGUAUGUUCUACGUAGAACCCAACGUAAUUUUUUAUCUAAAUAAUUAAGAUCCCCGUAAGCAAAUUCAUCAAUUAUACUUUGCUUUACAGAUUUUACAUUUUUCGAAUUCUUAAAAUAUUCCUAUUGCAUGUUUGAUGUACACAAUUAAUUCUAUAUGGGUUCUUAGGUUUGAUGCUCGCUAAAGGUAAAUUUGAACCCCAUUAUUACUAACUCAUUGUGAGACUUAGUCCACUCUCCACCAUUUUAAUGUAGAUAAUAUCAUUUGUUAAAAAAAAAAAAACAAUAUAUCUUUUACCUUUUAGUUAGUCAUAAUUUUUUCAUUUCUCCCCUCAACUCGGAGAUAAAGAGUUAUGUAUUUCAAUACAACCAUACGUAAUAAUCAAGCCCUUACUUCUAUAUAUACGUGUGUGUAUGACAAGGUGAUAAAUCAACUUAAGCCUUUUCCCAGUUCAGCAAAAAUCAUUUUGCCUCAAGCUUCUAAUGACAGUUGCAAAAAUGGAUUCUCUGCCUUAUGCAAACUCUAUCACUGCUGGCCUGUUCACAGUAAUCAUCGUGUUCUAUUACUUAUCUCGAAGAUGGAGAGCUUCCAAUCACGAGGGCAAAUUAUCACCACCAGAAGCCAAGGGUGGAUGGCCUAUAUUUGGUCACCUUCAUUUGUUCGGAGGCCCCACACCUCCUCACAUAACUUUGGGAGCCAUGGCGGACAAGUACGGACCCAUUUUCACUAUCCGCCUUGGCGUCCAACCGUCGUUGGUGAUAAGCAGCAGUGAGAUCGCAAAAGAAUGCUACACAACCAAUGACUUGAGCAUACUCGGUCGCCCAAAGAUGGUGGUUGCAGAUCACGUUACCUACAACUAUGCCAUGUUUGCGUUCGGACCACCUGGACCCUAUUGGCGACAAAUUCGCAAGAUCGUUACCUUGGAGUUGCUCUCAGUCCGGAAGGUUGAGCUGCUCAAGCACAUUCGAGUGUCGGAAGUGGCUACUUUCUUAAAAGAAUUGCACGACCAUUGGAGUACAAAGAAAAAGGAGGGCUCGAAAGAUGGAGUGGUUGUAGAGCUAAAGCAAUGGUUUGGGGACAUGAUGCUGAACGUUAUUCUUACAAUGGUGGCUGGAAAGCGGUUUUCGGUGGCUGCCACUGGGGAUGAGAAGAAAGAAGCGCGUAGGGUUCAGACUGCAUUGAGGGAGUUCUUUGAUUAUCUGGGCAUGUUUUUGGUGGGUGAUGCGGUUCCUUAUCUGCGGUGGUUGGAUUGGGGUGGACAUGAGAAGGCAAUGAAGAAAAGUGCAACGGAAAUGCACGCCAUUAUUGCAGAGUGGCUUGAAGAGCAUAAGCAGAGGAGAGCAAAAGGUGUUGCAAAAGGAGAAAAGGACUUCAUAGAUUCGUUGCUUUCUGUGCUUGAUGGUGCGGACCUUGGCAGUUUCGAUGCUGAUACGAUCACCAAAGCCACAAG
rnacentral:lncRNA from 1 species